UUCCCAGUUGACUUGCCUGGUCGUGUUGUCCUUUCAAUAUUCAAAGCUGCAGCAAAAGCAUGGGGCUUGUUGCUUCUAGAAACACCCCAGAUCUCUUGUCUGCUGUGUGCAUGUUGUUCAGGUAAAGCAGAUUUAAAAAAACAAACAAACAAACAAAGAAAUGAAAACCAGCUGCUGCUGCUCCUGCUCCCUUCCUACUUCCUUGUGCUUUUUCCCUCCCCUUUUCCAGGUGAUUGGGUUUGGGUGCUGGGCGGGGCCAAAAGGUAUAUGAGCCCCAGGCAUGGCAUCAGAGAGUUCCUUCUGCCUGGGCUGCUCUUUGGGAGGACUAAAACAAGCUUGAUUGCAUGGUACAUGUGGCUUAACAGCAUAGACGCAGCAUUACCAAGAAACUGAGCAGGGUUGUAUCGGUCACCUCUUUCAUCUGCAAAGGGUGAGUCUGUGAUUACCCCUGCCAGGGCUGCUGUGUGUGCAUGUCUUUUUGGCAUUUCUGGAGCUCAGUUGUUUUUUUUUGUGUGUUUAUGUUCUAACUUUUUGGUUUUUUGUUUUGUUUUGUUUUGUUUUUAAGGGCAAAUAGUGUUUGUGCUGAGCGUGGUUGGCAGGAGGAGGUGGGGAGCUGCUCAGGACUGGUAGGUUUUGUUUCUGGGAGUGUGCGGCAUCCUUCCUGUGCGAUGCGACUGAUUGUUGGGCAGGAACGUUUCAGCUCCUGUGUCUUGAGCAACGUAGCUUGUGUAGUGUGUGUUGUUUGGCCUGGGCAGAGUUUGCUGUGGCGCUGUGAGGGAAGAAUCAGAGUUCGAGCUGGUGAGCAGCUGAAGUACUGGAGCUGGGAAGAGAGAGGUAUUGCGGCAGGUACGCUGUGGCUGUGAGGUGCCUCAGAGUGUGCUGUUCUCUUGUCUUUGCAGGUGCUUUGUGCAGUCGUGGACAGGGAAGGGAAAUCCUCAUGUCACGGAGCUGUGAGGGAAGGUGAGUGUUGCCAGCCUGGUCAUCCCCUAUCCAAAGCGAAGGGAAGACGCUCAGGUGUUUCCCUCGGAGGGUCCGAGGUGAGGCUGUUUGGGAUAGAGGAGCAGUGUGGCAGGUGGGUGCUUGCA
rnacentral:lncRNA from 1 species